rnacentral:rRNA from 1 species
GAUUAAGUUAUUAAGGGCGCACGGUGGAUGCCUUGGCACUAGAAGCCGAUGAAGGACGUUACUAACGACGAUAUGCUUUGGGGAGCUGUAAGUAAGCUUUGAUCCAGAGAUUUCCGAAUGGGGAAACCCAGCAUGAGUUAUGUCAUGUUAUCGAUAUGUGAAUACAUAGCAUAUCAGAAGGCACACCCGGAGAACUGAAACAUCUUAGUACCCGGAGGAAGAGAAAGAAAAUUCGAUUCCCUUAGUAGCGGCGAGCGAAACGGGAAGAGCCCAAACCAACAAGCUUGCUUGUUGGGGUUGUAGGACACUCUAUACGGAGUUACAAAGGACGACAUUAGACGAAUCAUCUGGAAAGAUGAAUCAAAGAAGGUAAUAAUCCUGUAGUCGAAAAUGUUGUCUCUCUUGAGUGGAUCCUGAGUACGACGGAGCACGUGAAAUUCCGUCGGAAUCUGGGAGGACCAUCUCCUAAGGCUAAAUACUCUCUAGUGACCGAUAGUGAACCAGUACCGUGAGGGAAAGGUGAAAAGCACCCCGGAAGGGGAGUGAAAUAGAACCUGAAACCGUGUGCUUACAAGUAGUC